rnacentral:rRNA from 1 species
GGGGGGGGGGGGGGGGGGGGGGGGGGGGGGGGGGGGGGGCGGGGGGGCGGUGCUGGGGUGGGGGGCGCGAGUGGCGAACGGGGGAGUAACACGUGAGUGCCCUGCCCGUGACGGUGGGCUGGCUGCAGGAAACUGGGGCGGAUACCGGGUAGGCGCUCCUGCGGCAUGGUGGGGGUGUUACAGUUUCGGCGGUUGGGGAUGGACUCGCGGCGUAUCAGCUUGUUGGUUGGGUAGUGGCUUACCAAGGCUUUGACGGGUAGCCGGCCUGAGAGGGUGACCGGCCACAUUGGGACUGAGAUACGGCCCAGACUCCUACGGGAGGCAGCAGUGGGGAAUAUUGCACAAUGGGCGGAAGCCUGAUGCAGCAACGCCGCGUGCGGGAUGACGGCCUUCGGGUUGUAAACCGCUUUCGCCUGUGACGAAGCGUGAGUGACGGUAAUGGGUAAAGAAGCACCGGCUAACUACGUG